rnacentral:ncRNA from 1 species
UUCACCCUACUAACCCUGAAUUCCCUUCUUCUACCUCCAUGAUUCUCAAAUCAUCUUCUUCUUUUUCUUCGUCUACCUAUUACACACAUGAAGAGAAAUCUCCAAUAGCCACAGGACUCGACAGUUUCAAGAUCUCACCUCUUCACGAAGAUCCUCAAGAUUCAAGAGUUAUGAUCGAUUUGUUCUAAACUUAACCCAUCUCUCUAUCUCUCUUAUGCUUUGUGUAUCAUUUUUUUGUUUACCCUU